rnacentral:rRNA from 1 species
GACGAACGCUGGCGGCGUGCCUAAUACAUGCAAGUUGAGCGCUGAAGGCUGGUACUUGUACCAAAUGGAUGAGCAGCGAACGGGUGAGUAACGCGUGGGGAAUCUGCCUUUGAGCGGGGGACAACAUUUGGAAACGAAUGCUAAUACCGCAUAAAAACUUUAAACACAAGUUUUAAGUUUGAAAGAUGCAAUUGCAUCACUCAAAGAUGAUCCCGCGUUGUAUUAGCUAGUUGGUGAGGUAAAGGCUCACCAAGGCGAUGAUACAUAGCCGACCUGCGAGGGUGAUCGGCCACAGUGGGACUGAGACACGGCCCAAACUCCUACGGGAGGCAGCAGUAGGGAAUCUUCGGCAAUGGACGAAAGUCUGACCGAGCAACGCCGCGUGGGUGAAGAAGGUUUUCGGAUCGUAAAACUCUGUUGGUAGAGAAGAACGUUGGUGAGAGUGGAAAGCUCAUCAAGUGACGGUAACUACCCAGAAAGGGACGGCUAACUACGUG